ACUGACCAAGGAGGGCAGACACUAACAGGAGCUUGUUUGAAGAGGGAGAAGGUCCGGUGUUGAGCUUCAGGCCUGUUGAAUUUGCGAUACCUGUCAGGCAUCCAGGUGGAGCAGCCAGGUCGUUGGAGUUGAAUCUCCCCAUUUCCUAGAUGAAGUAACUGAGUCCAGCGUGGGUGGCGUGCCUGAGCCGACGCAGCUAGUGGCAGGGCUGGAAUUGGCAUCCAGGUCUGGCUGCCAAAGCCCAGGAGUGCAGGGGAGAAGAGGGGCAGGUGGGCUCUUUUCCCAGUCCCCGUGACCCGGCCUCAUGCCCUGCCCUGCCCACAGGGUGCCCCCGUGGGUGGCCACAUCCUCAGUUACCUCCUGGAAAAGUCACGAGUGGUGCACCAGAAUCAUGGGGAGCGGAACUUCCACAUCUUCUACCAGCUGCUGGAGGGGGGCGAGGAGGAGACUCUUCGCAGGCUGGGCUUGGAACGGAACCCCCAGAGCUACCUGUACCUGGUGAAGGGCCAGUGUGCCAAAGUCU
rnacentral:lncRNA from 10 species